UCGCCUUUGAUAUCGCACACGGUGAUUGCCACGAGCGUUAUGGCUCGGCGGAAGCAGUGUAAAGUUUAUCUCUUCUGCCGACCCAGCAAUGCACCUAAUUGGAUUCAACGCAUCGUACCGUUGCCUUCGAAGCAGCUUCAGCACUGGGUUGUCUACUUUAUUUUCACUGACGGGACCGUUCUGGAGUGUGAGGGACAGGAACACACUACCACUCAGAAAAUUCUCGGGAAUGCAAGGCUGACAAGUUACAACGAUGUAGAGCCUCUCCUAAAAUACAUGAAACUAUUGAAGGAUGGUGCUUGUACCUCGAAAGAAGAAAUCAGAGAAGUGGUGGACGACAUGAACAAGAAUAGCGAGAAGUAUGACACUCUCCACAACAACUGCCAGCAGUGGGUCAAAAUGCUGCUCAGAAGGCUGGAAAUACAUGUGUCUGCCAUCGAUGCAAAACAAGCCGCUGUCAUUGCAGGUGCUACAGGUUUAGGAGCCUCCGGUGCAAUUCUAGCCGUACUUGGAACUGGAGCUGUGGGUGCAGGUGCAGCUCCUGCUGUGGGUGUUGCAGCUGUUGCUACAGGCGCAGUUGCAUCUGUAGGUCUAGCAGCAACCCUUUUCAGAAGUCGAUAAUAAUAAGAAUAAAGACCUUCAGGGUGG